rnacentral:misc_RNA from 1 species
GAAGUGCCCCAUAGAUCAGAAGGCGUCACACAGACAUCCGCACACACGCACGCACAUAUACAUUUAUAUAUACAGACGGACGGACGGGCGCAAACAUUCUCGCGGCACUUCCCUAUUCACUUAUCUAUCCCUCCUCAAAAGACCGCCUUCUCACGCAGACAGGGAGGGGGAGGGAGGAGUUGAAAGGCAUCGUACCGAAACGCUGUGCUGCGCUCCCCUUGAGGCGCGCUUGCGGGGGUGUGCGUUGCCUCUCUCCCCGUUGGCAUCGAGAUUGGUGUCCUUGCACGACUCCGCGCGCAACUGCCGAGACGAACUACUUCCGCUGUGUGAAGGCGACGAAGGUGAAGCGGCGGCUUAUCACUUACGACUGACUCUCGACUUCGCCCGUCCAUCCCUCUCCCGGCCUCCCCCGGCGCGGUCGCAGCACUGGCACCAUUUGUUUUACUGCUCCUCAUCCGCAUCAUCUGUACCACCCAUCUCUCCUCUCCUUUCCAUAGACCUGUACCAUCAUUCCGUGGCAAAGGCACAGGCGGGCUCGCGCGCGUUUGUACUCUUCUGGACCUUCGUUUUUUUCCCCCGUUGCAUUUCUUGCGUGUGUGUGUUUUCUCAGCCUUCCCCCUCUCCCCACGCCUUCACGUGUGUAUCUCCGCGGCUUCUGCCCUCGCUUCCUGCCGGUCAAGCGCCGCUCGGUCCCCGCCGCCCGCCCACAUUCCCUCCCCCGGUUUAUCGCUGUGUGUUUUUGUUUGUGUGUGUGUGUGGGGUGCGACCACUUUCGGGUUGGCGAUCCCCCGAGAGCACCGCCGCUCGCUGAAAGGGGCACAUCAUCUCCGCGUGCGCUGUAGGUGAGUGUGGGUGUGGGGUGAGGAUGAGUGGCAGCGCCAAAAAUGGCUCCGACGGAAGUCGCCGGGCUUCUUCGGGGAUGAUGGGUAGCGGUAGCAGCAACGGCGGCAGUAGCCGUGGCAGCGAUGAUGACAGUGACCGUACUGGAGUGCGACGACGGGGUUCCUCGCAGCAUGUCCUGCUACCUGACGGCGGGUUUCAUGGGCAGACCACGUCGACGCACACCAAUCGGCGAUCUCGAGAACCUUCUCUGACAGUCACAGGGCGCAGCUCGUCGCCUCCAGACACUCCGUUGAAGAAAGGGAGUGCUGCGGCAGCAUCAGGCGUGAAAUCGUUCUCACGUCCCGCCGCAGCCCGCCUCGUCGCCACGGAAAAUACUCCUUCCCUUUCCGCAGAGUCGACGAUACCGGCUGCCGCGGCAGCGCAUGACGUUCGCGACACGGUCGAGUACCGUGCGGCUUGGGACCUAGAGCUGUGGAAAGCUGUGCAAGCAGACCGCUUCCGCAAAGAGCUCGAGAAGCAGAGGAACGUUGCAUUCGCGGAUCUCGAUCGACUUGUGAAGCGGCGGGAGAGGGAGGCGCGGGUGGCGCUGCAGCAGCGCACCACGGCAGUGGCGCUUCGCGAGGAGGCGGUGCAGGCAGAGGAGACGCGCCUGGCAGAGCGGCAACAGCGUGUGUCCGAUAUGGAAAAGGACGUGCGGCGCAUGCGGCAGCAGCUGCUCGACGCACAGCAGCGUGUCGAGGAUGAGGUGCGGGCGCAGGUGCGGCUGGCCAACGACACCAUUGCUCACCGCGCGCGACUACUGGAGGAAAGGGUGAAGGCGGCGGAGGCGCAGGCGCGGCGUGCAGAUGAGAGACAGCGGCUGGCGCAGCAGGAGUACUUGUCCCUCUAUGAGGCCUUCAGUCGAUACCGUACGCAGCAGUUGACAUCCCCUGGCUCCGCCAGCGGCAUCACCACUGCUAAUGCAAUGGGUGGGACUGCAUCCUCAUCUUUCUCGGUGGAGCGGCUGCGCGCUCAGUGGGAAACCGAGCACCAGCUGCAGCUAGACAGGCAAGCGCAGCGGCAUGCGUCUGACAUGGCUGCAGUUCAGCAGCGGUGCCGCGAGCUAGAGGAGCAGAACAGAAGACUGACGGCAGCACUGGCACGCCGACGGGAGCAACUGCGCCGUCACGCAGAUAGCGCGUCACCGCCGCCUCUACCGACAUCAGUUUCGCAGCGGCCACCGUCCCACGCCGGCCGCGAGGAUCGCGAGGGGCCGUCGGGCAGUGGCACCGCCGCUUCGUCAUCCUCCACCCCGUCCUCGAAUGUGGAAGCUGCGACUACUGCACUGCUUCAACCAGCGCGCAACAAGGAAAUCCUUCGCGACUUUGUGCAGCGCACCAGUCGCGAGCUUCAUCGUCUGGAGACAGAGCGGUCGUUGCUGGUGGAGGGGAGCAGCGGCGCGUUGCGUGAGACGGACACAGUGAUUGUGCGAAUGGACGCCCGCAUUCGCGAGUUGCGAGAGCAUCUUUCUUUUGUCGCGAGCCGGCGUGAGGCCGGAUGGCGUGACCGGGUAGACGGCACGGAGAGAUGGGAGAGGGCGAGGCUGGAGACUGGCCCGCUGUGAUGGCCCUCUCUUACCUCACCCAUACAUAUGCAUACAUGCGUGUAUUCUGUACACCGUGUUUUCGCUAAAGCGGCUGUUGAUGGGGCCGCUACCCCGUCGCUCCUUGUUUGCGUGUCCUUCCUUCGGUGUUGUUGCGCCCCGUUUCUCUUGUGCAAGUAGCCACGCACAAGAGCGUAAAAGGGUACCUCCCGCCCCCCUCUCGCCCCUCUCCUCCCCCCUCCCCUUCCCCACACACCUGGCGCAUACCGACGCACGCACCACACGCACAUGUCGUGCAGAGACGCGUGCCCUGUAAUGCUCUUGUGUGCACCUCCUCUCUCCCUCCUCGGCUUUUGUGCGACGCAUGCACACCUCUUC